rnacentral:lncRNA from 1 species
UGAACCUUGGAUUGUUGCAACAAGUGUACAGAGUGCUGAUUUGGUUGCAUGCUAGAAUUACCACUUUGAGUUCCGAGGUGCUGCUGUUGCUGUAAUCCAGUAACAUUACUCUGGGAGCCCAACUGUUGCUGAUGCAUAUUUGAAAGGUUGCUUUGCUGCUGUUGCUGUAACCCGGUAACAUUACUCUGAGGGCCCAAUUGUUGCUGAUGCAUAUUAGAAAGGUUGCUUUGUUGAGCCAUUAACUGCUGUUGUUGUUGCUUUUGCUGUUGCUGUUGCUGCUGCUGCUGUUGUUGUUGCAGGUUUAAAAGACUAUUCUUUUGGCUUAGCAACCUCUGUUGUUGCUGCUGCUGCAUAUCACCCACAUUGUUU